UCUCUCAGGAGUAUGCAAAGAUGCUCUUGUUGUUUUCUCUAGGGCUAUCUCUGGGACAAUAACCAGGCGGUGGUGGAAUGGCUGGAGAAACACUUGCAAGAAGAGGAGGGUUCCCGAUCAGCCAUUCGAGAAAACAUAAAAUAUCUGAAACGGGACUACGCUCUCAGACAUAUCCGGAGCUUGGUUCAAGCAAACCCAGAGGUGGCCCUGGACUGCAUGAUUCACUUGACUCAGCAUAUCACCUGUGCACAGAGGGCCCAGAUCACUCGUCUCUUAUCUACCAUGGAUAAUCCUCCUCCCUUCUUGAUGGAGAGGCCGCAGGUGGGGGUGCCAGGAACAAUCGCUGUAGACAAGGAAGCACACAGAGAGAAACCACUCCUUUGAGACCAGAUGUCUUCUUGCCUGAAUGUAUUCGAACCUAGUGUUGAAGCUUUAGACUCUACUGAUGUCUCUCAGUAAAUGAUGCCAUUGCUGCAUUUUCAGCCAUGAAAAUAGUCUUUCUGUGAACACCGUGUUCAUCCUGGACUUGUGGGGACAAUUUAAAAAAACAAAUCCAUUACAGUGACAUUUUUGUGGGAUUUUAAUUCAACCCAAAUUGACCUUGUCAGCAGCACAACGCUGGUAGGGAUGGGCCCCAGGGUCAUUUUUGUGACUUCCAUUUCAUUAGAAUGAAUGGAGCUGGGAGUAGAAAUCAAACUCUGUAUAAUAGCCAGAAAGAGAAAUAUUUUUGUACUAAUGUUUAUUGUUGCCGACCAUCUGCCAGCAUAAUAAGAAAAUGUUAUUUUUAAUGAACAAGAGAAAACUGUGUGUUGGAAAAACAUUCAAACUAACCACUAGAAAACCAUUGGAGAGCCUCUUUAUUCCCCUGCUACGGCAGUGUUUAGUGGAGGUAAUUAUAAAAUAAUUCUUGGAACAUGGUCAGGGAUUCGAGGGAAGGUUUUGACAGAGCCAUACAUUUCAACUUGUCUUUUUUUCUUUGUGGUCAGGACACCAAGUCUGCAGCUGUUAACACAGUUGUCAGUGCAGGAUUUGUUAAACAGCCCCAGUUCUAACAAGGGAAUGAAAAGGGGCAGAUGAAUUUUCCAUCUCUUC
rnacentral:lncRNA from 1 species